GAUUGGACGUCUGUGCAGAUACUUUAGUUGGGAAUCAAAUGUUAAGGGGAAUAUCUGGAGGGCAAAGGAAACGAGUUACAACUGGUUAGAUGUUGGUUGGACCAUCUAAAGUGUUAUUCAUGGAUGAAAUAUCUACUGGUUUGGAUAGCUCAACAACUUUUCAGAUUGUGAAUUCAAUCAAGCAAUAUUCAAUGGAACUGCUGUCAUCUCCCUCCUCCAGCCAACACCAGAGACUUAUAAUCUUUUCGAUGACAUUAUUCUCAUCUCUGAUGGCCAGAUUGUAUACCAGGGUUCCCGUGAACAAGUGCUUAUAUUUUUUGAAUCAAUGGGCUUUAAAUGUCCUGAGCGGAAAGGGGUGGCAGACUUCCUGCAAGAAGUGACUUCAAGGAAAGAUCAGAAGCAGUAUUGGGCACAAAAAGAUGAGCCCUACAAUUUUGUAACAGUCAAGGAAUUUGCUGAGGCAUUCCAAUCUUUCCAUGUGGGACGGAAACUCGGAGAUGAAUUUGCAACUCAGUUUGACAAGGCUAAAAGCCAUCCAGCUGCUUUGACUACAAGAAAGUAUGGUGUCAAAAAGGCAGAGCUGCUGAAAGCUUGCUUGUCAAGAGAAUUCUUGCUCAUGAAUAGGAAUUUGUUUGUCUACAUCUUCAAGUUCAUUCAACUUACAAUAAUGGCAAUGGUUGUUAUGACAACUUUCCUACGGACUGAUAUGCACUGAAAGUCAGUAACUGAUAUCCAUGACCGUUGCAAAGCUUCCUGUUUUCUUCAAGCAAAGGAAGCUCCUAUUCUAUCCUCCAUGGGCAUAUUCUCUCCCUGCAUGGAUCAUCAAGAUUCCAAUCACGUUUGUAGAAGUUGCUGUAUGGGUAUUCAUCACUUACUAUGUCAUUGGCUUUGAUCCAAGUGCUAGAAGGUUUUUUAGGUAGUACCUUUUGCUUUUACUUCUUAACCAGAUGGCUUCUGCAUUAUUUCGCUUUAUUGGGGCAAUUGGUAGGGGGGACCUGAUUCUUGCCAACACAUUUGGGUCAUUUGCACUGGUCAUGCUGUUUGCUUUGGGUGGCUUUGUCCUGUCAAGAGAGAACAUAAAGAAAUGGUGGAUAUGGGGUUACUGGAUGUAAACUACAUGUCUAGCCUACUGUAUUUGUUGCAGAAUGCGAUUUUGGGUUUUGGUCCAUUUCUUGAAGACAGUGCAUGGGGUUGUCUUGAUCUAACUCAUUGUAAAGGUCAAAACCUUAAGUUCAUGAAUUGCACUUCAUAAGUCACAAAAAACAAAAUAUAUUUUUAACAUUGUCAUAGAACUCACUCAUUCAUGGCUGAUUAUAAUUUAAAAUGCAGUUUCCUUCAUACUGAUGAUCCAUUAUCAACACAUGACCACAUAUACAUGGCUGUGGAACUUGACUAAUUGAUAAUGAAUAAAGAUCUCAAAAGUGGGUUUGGAUUU